UAUGCAGGGUAUAUGCAACGGCAGGAAACAAACGUUAACAGUAGAGGCCAGCGUGUUGCUGGAACCAGUGAAAAAUGACAAGCCUAAUACUCCUGCUAGUCCCAGUCAUUUGUGGAUUCCUACAGCCGGUAAUGGGCCAAGAGGCUCAACCCGAGGCGAUGGCGUCAAAUGGACCAGAACGACGAUUUUUUGUUGCACCCGCCCUGCAAAAAAGGUAUUGUAGAUGGAAUCAAAGAUGGAAGUGGUGCCAGAGCCCGACCUGCGGCGAGGCGAAAUGCGAGUACUUAUUUAAGGGUUGGCCCAAACAGUGCGUACUUGGCUGCCAGACCGGAUGUUUCUGCCGACGGGGUUUCUUCCGAGACGCAAGUGGUGACUGCGUCGGCGCUUUAAAAUGCCUCUUUAAACGCAGACUCUACGUUAAUAGCACUAGAGGCCGCCCAGAGUGACGUUCCAAACGAGGUUCCAAAAUCCGCAUCGCUCUUUUGUAACGCUCUUUUGGAACCGAGGUUCCAAACACGGAUUUCAUGUUUUGGUAAUGAUAAAUGUAAGGAAAAUAUGGCACCGAAAUAAAAACAAAACAAAAAAACUCUG